GUGAUCUUGGUCACUAUCUUGGUCAUCUGGAAGGCCUAGAGGAUUUGGAUGACUAGCCUCAACUCCUGUCAUGAGCUCCUCUCUUCCUGUGAGAGAUGAUCAGGUCCACUCUGUUCUACUCAGAAGGCUGAGAUUUAUGAAGAAGUUCCACUGCAGUUCUACAACUUCCUCAAGGCUGUUUGGAACUCUGUAGUGAAGGAUACACAAGAUGCGCACUUCAGCGUUCGGUGGCCUUGCAGCGUGAGUUCGUGGAUCUGCUUCAUGGCUGAAACGUUGCUGCUACUAGAUGCUUCCAUUUCACAAUCUAGCAGUGCAGAUGUGUCACAGAAGUUUGCAUCGUGUUACAGUGUCACAUUUAAAGCCCUUGCCAGUGUUUAUCAACAUUGCAUGGCUAUGUGCUUGAUUUUAUACACCUAUUAGCAGUUAAUCUGUCUGAAACACUCAAACAAUAAUAAGGAGGGGUGACCACAUACUUUUGGCCACAUAGCUGUAAUUGCUAUGCUGUUAACCCAGUAUGGAUGUAUACAACCUUGAAAUAAAGCUGAAUGAAUUCUGUACUUCAGCUUCAGAGUCAGUAUCCGAUAUGCUGAAGUGCAGAACUAGAAC
ensembl:lncRNA